UCGGCAUGCGAUGACGUCACAUCCGGUUUCGCAGCGUCUUGUGGGAAAGUUCCGGUUUGAAAUUAGCGCGAGGGUGGGGGCUUUCCACGAGGCUCACCUGAGCACAAGCAGUUUUGCAGGCAUGAGAAAUCACAGUGAGAGCAACGCUUUUUCACCAUAUGUUAAUGUGAAGAGUGAACAGUAAAUGGUUAAUCUUACUGCGAUCUGGUUCUUAUUAACUGGUUUAUCUCGACGUUAAAUUCGGCGUUCGUUACACGCGAAGGAGAACGUUACAGUGAAAAAGCGGCAUUAUCAGGUGUUUCAAGUGCUGCAAUGUCAGCUCAACCCAGCAUCAAGUCGACGCCGCCCAGCGACAAGGGCGGUAAACGGACAUCAAGUAAGCCCACCCGGGCGUUAUCAGGUGUUCCAAGUGCUGCAAUGUCAGCUCGAUCCGGGAUCAAGUCGAUGGCGCCCAGCGACAAGGGCAGUAAACCGACAUCAAGUAAGUCCACCCAGGCAAGAGCCAAGGCAGAAGCCGCCAAGGUGCGACUGCGUUAUGCCAGACAAAAAGCAGUUUUGAAAAUGAAACUGGCCAUCAGAGAAGCCGAAAUCCAGAAAGAACUGGCCGUCAGAGAAGCCGAAAUCCAGAAAGAAAAGGCUGCCAGAGAAGCCGAAAUCCAGAAAGAAGCCGAAAAGGCUGCCAGAGAAGCCGAAAGAGCUGCCAAAGAAGCCGAAAGGGCCGCCAGAAAGGCAGAAGCCGCCAAGGUGCGACUGCGUUACGCCAGACAAGAAGCAGUUUUGAAAAUGAAACUGGCCACCAGAGAAGCCGAAAUCCAGAAAGAAAGGGCCGCCAGACAAAGAGAAGAGGCUGCCAGAGAAGCCGAAAUCCAGAAAGAAAGGGCCGCCAGACAAAGAGAAGAGGCUGCCAGAGAAGCCGAAAUCCAGAAAGAAAGGGCCGCCAGACAAAGAGAAGAGGCUGCCAGAGAAACCGAAAUCCAGAAAGAAAGGGCCGCCAGACAAAGAGAAGAGGCUGCCAGAGAAGCCGAAAUCCAGAAAGAAAAGGCUGCCAGAGAAGCCGAAAUCCAGAAAGAAAGGGCCGCCAGACAAAGAGAAGAGGCUGCCAGAGAAGCCGAAAUCCAGAAAGAAAAGGCUGCCAGAGAAGCCGAAAUCCAGAAAGAAAGGGCCGCCAGACAAAGAGGAGAGGCUGCCAGAGAAGCCGAAAUCCAGAAAGAAAGGGCCGCCAGACAAAGAGAAGAGGCUGCCAGAGAAGCCGAAAUCCAGAAAGAAAGGGCCGCCAGAGAAGCCGAAAAGGCUGCCAGACAAAGAGAAGAGGCCGCCAGAGAAGCCGAAAUCCAGAAAGAAAGGGCCGCCAGACAAAAGGAAGAGGCCGCCAGACAAAAAGAAGAGGCCGCCAGACAAAGAGAAGAGGCUGCCAGAGAAGCCAAAAUCCAGAAAGAAAGGGCUGCCAGAGAAGCCGAAAUCCAGAAAGAAAGGGCCGCCAGAGAAGCCGAAAAGGCCGCCAGAGAAGCCGAAACCCAGUUGGAAAUGGCAAAAAUAUCGACAGAGUUGCAAGUGCUGCAGCUAGAAAGAGAAGGAGAAGCUGCCAUGGCGGAAGCAGAGUACAUAGAAGAAGCUGAAGGGUCGCGUGAUCUGACCGAAGCAAGACCUACUUUAGAAAGGACCAGACUGGAACGCACAAGCGACUAUGUACAAUAUCAAACAAACUGGCAGGCUCGUCUCCCCUCUCCAUACCUAUUCGAUAACUUCCCCAGCUACGAGGAAGAAAAUUUACCCUCGCGGCUUCGUGAUGAAGUCAAGAAUGAAAGAGCUGACAACCGAUAUUCUUUGACACCAAAGUUACAAAGUUCGAUGCGAAGAGACGCGGAGGUGGAAUCCAGGAUGGCAAAUUCCAUGAGAAACGUGCGUUCUCAGUCAUAUAGGCGCCAACGUACUUCUCCAGCCCGCAUGCCGCUUACAGCCGAUCCCACGCUGCAGUAUUUAGCACGACGGGAUCUCGUCACUUCGGGACUGUACCAGUUUGACGAUAAACCCGAAAAUUACCGUGCAUGGCACUCCACAUUCACCAACGUGAUCGACGGGGUCCAGCUCAGUGCAACCCAAAGGUUGGACCUUAUGGCGAAAUGGCUGGGGAAAGAAUCACGCGACCAGGUGAGACGCAUGCGUUCAGUGUACAUCAACAAACCCGAGCUAGCCUUAAGCGAAGCGUGGGAGAGACUUUGGGAGAGAUAUGGGGCCCCCGACAUUAUUGAAGCGGCGCUAUAUCGACGUCUGGAAAACUUUCCUAAGGUGUCAGCCAAAGAUCACUUUAAGUUAAGAGAAUUCGGAGAUUUACUCAUGGAGAUCCAAGGCGCCAAAGAAGAUGGCUAUUCAGCUGGUCUAGUAUACCUAGAUACUCCAUCCGGGAUUAGACCAAUCGUGGACAAACUUCCAUUUGGGCUGCAGGACAAGUGGCUGACUGUUGCCUCAGAGUACAAGGAAGAGCACGGUGGUCGAUUUCCUCCCUUUGAGCACCUCACUGAGUUUGUGCGCAAGGAGGCGAAGAGGCGAAACGACCCUAGCCUCGUGGGUCCAGGUAGAUCCUCCUCGAAUGUUUUCAACAUUGAUAAACCCGUGUCAGUGCUCAAGACUGAAGCCCUUACAACUAACAACGACCCUGGCGAGUAUUGUCCAUUGCAUAACAAACCUCACCCCCUGAAAGCAUGCAGAAUGUUUAGGGAAAAACCCCUUGAAGAGAGGACGGCUCUUCUCAAGGAGAAAAGAAUAUGUUUUAGAUGCUGUUCCUCAACCUCUCACCUCGCCAGAGAGUGUACGAUCGCCGUGAAGUGUCCGGAAUGUGAUAGCACGGAUCACGUCGGGGCCAUGCAUCCCGGCCUGUCACCGCAAACCGACAGCGCUCCUUCACCCCCACAACAGGACGGCGGGGAGGGAAAGGCUCACUCUAGGUUAACAGCUGUCAGCACGAACUGUACAGAAGUUUGCGGUCAAGCUCAGUCAAGUCGUUCUUGUUCCAAGAUCUGCCUCACUAAGGUGUACCCUAAAGGAGCCAAAGACAAGGCCAUCAAAGCCUAUGUGAUUCUGGACGAUCAGAGCAAUCGUUCACUAGUCAGUCCAGAGUUCUUUAAAUUGUUCAACAUUGAGAGUGAGCGGUUCCCAUACUACCUCAAAACUUGCUCAGGCAACAUGGAAACCCAAGGAAGGAAGGCAGAAGGCAUCCAGAUCAAGUCCCUGGAUGGUAAAGUCGUCAUCUGUCUCCCUCCGCUCUUAGAGUGCAAUGAAAUCAUGAAUAACCGCGCUGGGAUCCCGACACCAAGUGCGGUGCUACACCAGCCGCAUCUCCACCACAUCGCCAAACACAUCCCAGAACUGGAUCCGAAAGCGGAAAUACUCCUGCUAUUAGGAAGAGAUGUUAUCCAGGUACACAAGGUUAGGCAGCAGGUCAAUGGACCACUCGACGCCCCCUUCGCGCAACGUCUGGAUCUGGGCUGGGUGGUGAUAGGAGAGGUGUGUCUCGGUGACGUACACAAACCGACGGUCGACACACUCAAGACCAAUGUGCUAGAGAGUGGCCGCCAUUCGAUUUUUCAACCCUGCACAAGUUCCAUGUAUAUCAAGGAAGCUUAACAAGCGCGAGGCAAGCGACGAGUCGCUGGGCCAGUCAGUCUUCGCUCAAACAAAGUAUGACAACAAACUUGCACAAUCAGCUCAAGAUACCAUUUCUUUAAAAACCAAAGACACCAAGGUCUUCAGAGAUGAAGCAAAUAAUGGGGUUGCCCCAUUGCCUAUCAGAGAACCACGCCAGCGCUCACCAGAUAACAAAGAGCAGGCAGUCAAACGGUUCACGUCCUUACGGAAAACCCGGAAAAGGAAACCUGAGAUGCAGCAACACACCCGAUUGGCCCACGAGGUACUGUGCACCCUAAUGGCAGAGGUCACAGCCAUUAUAAACGCACAAUCAUUCCUACCUGUGUCUUCUGACCCAGAAAACCCCUUUAUACUUUCGCCAUCAAUGCUCCUUACGCAGAAGGCAGGAGCACCUCCUCCACCAGGAGACUUCUCAGACAAGAAUUUGUACACAAAGCAAUGGAGACAAGUCCAGGCUCUGGCAAAUCAGUUCUGGUCCCGCUGGAGACAGGAAUAUCUACCCUCGUUGCAACAGAGACGAAAGUGGACAGAACCCCGCAGGAAUCUUCAAGUUGGAGACUUAGUCCUGCUCAGGGACAAGCAGAUCACCCGCAACAGCUGGCCAAUGGCCGGAAUCACUGCUACAUUACAUAGCGAGGAUGGACAUGUCAGGAAGAUCGAAUUGAAGACUACCGACCAAGGCGAUGUGAAAAUUUACCAAAGGCCAGUUACAGAAGUUAUUCUACUUCUACCCAAUGACUGAUUAAGAGACUAAGUUUGUACUCUGCUCAUUGUGACCUUACGAAGGUCAAGCGGGGAGUGUGCUGUCUUUACGACAGUUAUUUAGUUUAUAAUAUUUUCGCUUAGUAAUUCAUUCAAUAGUAUUUUCUAGUUAGAAUUAGAAGUGUUUAAAGUAUAUUCAUUGCAUGUAAAAUAUAUCGGCAUGCGAUGAUGUCACAUCCGGUUUCGCCGCGUCUUGUGGGAAAACACCGGUUUGAAAUUAGCGCGAGGGUGGGGGCUUACCACGAGGCUCACCUGAGCAGAAGUAGUUUUGCAGGCAUGAGAAAUCACAGUGAGAGCAACGCUUAGCAUCAUCUCAGCAACAGAAAUAUCACUGGAUCCAUGGCAGGUCGAACCACUGCAAUAAGGGUUUCAGACAAGUGGAGCAUCGGUAUUUUCCUUUACCCGGCCUGCAGUUCACAGCCGUAUCCAGCAGAGAUCUUUUGGAAAUAUUUCAAGAAAGGUGAACUCUCCAGAUCAUAAACACAAUUGUCCUUUUAAAGACAUUUAAACUCUCAGAACAUCUCACUGUCAGCAGAGAAGGCAACUAACUUCGUCUGAAUCUGGAAAGUGCUUUUUGCUUGGUGUGAAUCCACAGAUGAAGAAAUGCUGCAAGAUGUAAAUAUCAGAGAAACAAAUAAAAUAAAUUGACCCUUCCCAGGAAACAGAUUCCAUGACUUUGUAAAACAAUGUAUGGAAGCUAAUUCAUUUGCGGUGUCUAUGUGCCUAGACUACAAAAUUGUGUGUGUAUGUACUUGUAGCUGCACAUAUGCAUACUGCACAGCUGUCUGUAUGUCUUUUGCAUCUGUGCGUGUGUGUUUAUGUAUAAAGCUGCAUAUUUUGUUUGCUAUAUGCCCAUAUGUGUGUAUCAGAAAUCUCCCUGAAGAUUGUGCUCAGAAGAUUUAUCCGAUUACUGGGGAUUACCAUAUAUUUAAGAACUCCCACUGAAUUGUCCAAACUCCCCUAGCAUGCAAUCAGCAGAAAGGAAAAUUUCUCAGUGGCAUCCGAGACAAAGCAUAGACAUUUUCCAUAACAUUGACAGCUAACAUCGCACAGCCUCUUUGCAAAUGGCUCACAAAAUAACAGGGUUCAAAUCAGUUGUCAGAGGAUUUGUCAAGAAGCUAACCACUGAUGAAAGUACAUGAUCAACUCAGGAGAGACAGCUUCAUUGCCUUGGUGACUCAUUCAUCAUUCUGCCUUGAGUAAAAUUGCCUACUGAUUAAAUCAAUCUCAAAGUGCUCAGGUGUAACUAUCAGCACCCCGGAGGGGAGCAUUCCUGUGUGAAUGAUACCUAAAAGUUAGUUAAGCCCAUCGCCUGACUGAGGCACAGGUUGCCAACAGCAGCUCACCAGAGCCCUCUGUUCUGGGCCAGUUUUUCAAGUUGUCCCUGGGUGUAGCCCCUCUUCUUCAUGCACCAUCAGGUGUUUUUUGGCUGGUCUCUCUUUCGCUCUUCUUGGGGAUUCCACAUUAGCGCUUGCCUGGUGAUGUUGGUAAAUGGCUUACCAUUUGAAAAAGAGUGUGCGGAAGCUGGUUUGUGUGUCCUAUCCACCCCAAUCUCCUCUUCCUUAAUUAUUCUUCUGCUGCUGUUCGGUGAGUUCUUUGCCUUAGAUCAGUGUUGCUGAUGACUUCUCUUCUGGCCAGUAGAUCCAGAGAUUUUUUUUAAAGAUCUGCACUUUCCAAAUGAUAGUUUUUGUUAUCCUCCAAGAUUUUACAGAGAACUGACUUCACACUGGGGUUGAACACGGUGCAUGGUGACGGCUCCUCGGAGCACCAGAUGCUCUUGAGACGGAUGAGGGUUGCCCCAGCUUAGCCCCACCUUGUCUUGACAUCUGCAUCGGUGCCGCCCUGUCUGUUGAUGAUACUACCCAGGUAGGUGAAGGCUUCUACCUACCCGAGUGGACUUCCCUCAAGAGUGACUGGGUCAACACAGUUUGAGUUGAUCUUGAUGACUUCCAGUUUUCUCUUUGUAGAUGUUACUGCCCACUUGCACUGAUGUGGUUGUCAUGUCUGUUUUUCCUUGAUCUUCUUGUGGGCGUAGGACAGGAGAGCUACAUCAUUAGCGAAGUCUAGCCAUGUUUCCAUAGGGUUCACUGGAUCCCAUUUCUUUUCAGUGUUGUAGAUGUCUUCAUGAUCCAGUCUAUGAGCAGAAGGAUCAGGAAAGGGGAUAUCUGUCACCCUUGUCUGACUCCCAUUUUCACCGGAAAGCUGUUGGUGGUCUGUUCGCCAUGGUUGACUCUGCAGGACGUUCCCUCGUAUGAAUUCUUGAUCAGUCUGACCAUCUUGCCUGGUAGUCCAUUGUGCCACAGGAUCUUUCUAUCUAUUCAAUCAAAGGCUUUUUCAUCAUCGAUGAAGUUGUUGUACAGAGAUGAAUUCCACUCAAUUGACUGCUCGACUAUUAUACUUAAUGUCGCUCUUUGGCCAGUGCAUUAUCCGUUCCUGUAUAAGCCUGUAUGUUUAUCUCAGCUUGCUUCUGCAGCAUCCUCCAUCCUUUCCAGUGUUAUCCUGAAGAAGACUUUUUCAAGGACUGACAAGAGUGUUAUGUCUCUGCAGCUGGAGGAAAUUGCUAAAGUCUCCUUUCUUAGGAAUCUCGACAAGGUAGCCCUCUUUCCAGACUGUUGGUAUUUGCUCUUCUUCACAGAUCUUCUAAAAGAGAGGGCACAGCCCCUCUACUGUAGUGUGCAGGUCUGCGUGGAGAGCUUCUUCAGGGCUGUCGUCCGGAUCAAAUGCUUUUCCAUUCUUUAGCAGCCUUACUGCUUUGCUGAUUUCCUCUCUGGUAGGCACAUUGCAGUUUACGGGUAGGUCAGUAUUGGCUGGAGGGAUGUCAGCUGAGUUUAGAGAUGCAGGUCUGUUUGGCAGAUCUUCAAAGUGCUCAGCCCCCCUGUUCAGCUGCUGCUCUGUCCCCACAAUGGCCUUUCUAUCCCUGUCCUUGACUAGUCUCUCAGGCUUUCUGUACCUAGAGAUAAUUUCUUUCUGGUGUCGUACAGCUUCCUCAUGUUUCCAGACCCGCUGCUUGUUCUACCAGGCCGUCUAUAUAACUGCACUUGUCUGCUUUAACACUCUUCUUCGCUGCCCCGAGAGCCUCUGCAUGCCCUUCCUGUGUGUUUGUCUUUCCCACUCUAGUCCUGCUGUUAUCCAUGACUGCUUUCUCCUGCCUCCUCAGCUUGAUCUUGGUAAAGUUUCAGCUGAGGUUCACUCUUCUUGCUGGUCCUUUUUGGCACUGAGUACCUCCUUAAAUUUCUGCCACUUGUGUAGAUCCUCUUCCUCAUGUAGUUCUUGUAGCACUUGGAACUUGAUGAUAAGGACCAAUUAGAAUGUUUCUUGGAUCUAUGUGUCUCUCAAAAAGUUGGCGCUUUCCCUCAAUGAUGCUGAUUUCAUCUAUUUCUUCUCCAGUUUUAGCUUCACAGCUAAGAGCUGAUAGGCAGAUGUGACAAGUGCUCCCCUCCUCAACACCAGCGAUCGUUCAUCAGGUUCGAUUCCUGCCAGUUUGUACAUUCUCCCUGUGACUGCAUGAGUUUUUACCUCUCACAUUCCAAAGAAGUGUGGUUAGGAUUAGGAAGUUGUGGGCAGGCUAUGUUGGCGAUAAUGGUGGGCUGCUCCCAGCACAUCGCA